rnacentral:rRNA from 1 species
CAGUAGCCGCGGGAAUACGAGGGGGGCAAGCGUUGUUCGGAAUUAUUGGGCGUAAAGGGCGCGUAGGCGGUUUGGCAAGUUUGGUGUGAAAUCUUCGGGCUCAACUCGAAGUCUGCAUCGAAAACUGCCGGGCUUGAGUAUGGGAGAGGUGAGUGGAAUUUCCGGUGUAGCGGUGAAAUGCGUAGAUAUCGGAAGGAACACCUGUGGCGAAAGCGGCUCACUGGACCAUUACUGACGCUGAGGCGCGAAAGCUAGGGGAGCAAACAGGAUUAGAUACCCCAGUAGUCCCUGUCUCUUAUAC